rnacentral:rRNA from 1 species
GAUUAACGCUGGCGGCGCGUCUAACACAUGCAAGUCGAACGGCAGCACGGGUGCUUGCACCUGGUGGCGAGUGGCGAACGGGUGAGUAAUACAUCGGAACGUACCUUAUCGUGGGGGAUAACGCAGCGAAAGCUGUGCUAAUACCGCAUACGCCCUGAGGGGGAAAGCGGGGGAUCGAAAGACCUCGCGCGAUUAGAGCGGCCGAUGCCUGAUUAGCUUGUUGGUGGGGUAAAAGCCCACCAAGGCGACGAUCAGUAGCUGGUCUGAGAGGACGAUCAGCCACACUGGGACUGAGACACGGCCCAGACUCCUACGGGAGGCAGCAGUGGGGAAUUUUGGACAAUGGGGGCAACCCUGAUCCAGCAAUGCCGCGUGAGUGAAGAAGGCCUUCGGGUUGUAAAGCUCUUUUGUCAGGGAAGAAACACCGGCUCUAACACAGUCCGGGAAUGACGGUACCUGAAGAAUAAGCACCGGCUAACUACGUGCCAGCAGCCGCAGUAA